rnacentral:lncRNA from 1 species
UGCAGUGUUCCACAUCUACCACCCUGUAAAGGUCACAGUGGGAGCCCAGCUUUGCUCUGUGCCUCCACCAACAGCUGAGCAAGGUUUUGGCUGGCCUCCCACCCUCUGCCCUUAGUCAUCCUGCAGUCUGGGGAUGCACGAUCUGGAUGGCAAAAGAGCGAGCUCAUGCUACUGAACCCUCCUUAUGAUGCAGCUCUUAUGCCUAAUUCAUCAGGCACCUUGGAGAGCCAUCAACUCAUCAACAGCCACAUGCAGGAAAAUGGAUUUGUAAAGUGCUUAUCCUCAGCUGGACAGGAUAUUUUGAACUUGCCAGUCCUGACUGGAUUUAUCCUGAUAGACUGGAAUUACGAAAGUUCACGAGUGCUCCAGGAGCCACAUGAGGAUAAAUAUAGAUUCAAUCAAAUCAAAUCAAGUUUGGCAAUAAAGAUGUAA